UGAUGACGAGACGCUAAGGCGUUGAAGCAGUGUAUGUCAGACUUCCAAGAAAAGCUCGCAAUGUCAUAAAUAAAAGAUGCCUGUACCAUAACCGACACAGGUGGGUAGGUAGAGUAUACUAAGGGGCGCGAGAUAACUCUCUCUAAGGAACUCGGCAAAAUGACUCCGUAACUUCGGGAGAAGGAGUGCCUUAUUUAUAAGGUUGCAAUAACAAGAUCCAAGCAACUGUUUAUCAAAAACACAGGUCUCCGCUAAGUCGUAAGACGAUGUAUGGGGGCUGACGCCUGCCCAGUGCCAGAAGGUUAAAGAAGUUGGUUAGUGUAUGCGAAGCUGAUGACUGAAGCCCUGGUGAACGGCGGCCGUAACUAUAACGGUCCUAAGGUAGCGAAAUUCCUUGUCGGGUAAGUUCCGACCCGCACGAAAGGCGUAAUGAUUUGGAUACUGUCUCGGAGAGAGGCUCGGUGAAAUAGACUUGUCUGUGAAGAUGCGGACUACCUGCACCAGGACAGAAAGACCCUAUGAAGCUUUACUGUAACUUGAAAUUGGAAUUGGACUUUGCUUGCGCAGUAUAGGUGGGAAGCGUUGAAGAUAUUCUUGCGGGAGUAUUGGAGCUAUCAGUGAGAUACCACUCUUGUAAUGUUAGAUUUCUAACUUUGAACCAUAAUCUGGUCAAAGAACAGUUUCAGGUGGGCAGUUUGACUGGGGCGGUCGCCUCCCAAAUGGUAACGGAGGCGUACAAAGGUUUCCUCUGAACGGAUAGAAAUCGUAUCUAGAGUGUAAAGGCAUAAGGAAGCUUGACUGUGAGACCUACAAGUCGAGCAGGGACGAAAGUCGGUCUUAGUGAUCUGACGGUACUGAGUGGAAAGGCCGUCACUCAACGGAUAAAAGUUACUCUAGGAUAACAGGCUGAUCUCCCCCAAGAGUUCACAUCGACGGGGAGGUUUGGCACCUCGAUGUCGGCUCAUCGCAUCCUGGGGCGGUAGUACGUCCCAAGGGUUGGGCUGUUCGCCCAUGAAAGCGGUACGCGAGCUGGGUUCAGAACGUCGUGAGACAGUUCGGUCCAUAUCCGGUGUAGGCGCUAGAAUAUUGAGAGGAGCCUUCUUUAGUACGAGAGGACCGAGAAGGACACACCGCUGGUGUACCAGUUAUCGUGCCAACGGUAAACGCUGGGUAGCUAUGUGUGGAGUGGAUAACCGCUGAAAGCAUCUAAGUGGGAAGCCCACCUCAAGAUGAGUAUUCUCU
rnacentral:rRNA from 1 species